UACGUAGGGAGCAAGCGUUGUCCGGAAUCAUUGGGCGUAAAGCGCGCGUAGGUGGCCCCGUAAGUCCGCUGUGAAAGUCAAAGGCUCAACCUUUGAAAGCCGGUGGAUACUGUGGGACUAGAGUACGGAAGAGGCGAGUGGAAUUCCUGGUGUAGCGGUGAAAUGCGCAGAUAUCAGGAGGAACACCGAUGGCGAAGGCAGCUCGCUGGGACGGUACUGACGCUGAGGCGCGAAAGCGUGGGGAGCAAACAGG
rnacentral:rRNA from 1 species